ACUGCCACUCCACACGUGUUGCAUAUGCGCGGCGACGUUAUGCGCGCGCGAUUUGACAUUUGACGUUAUCUGUGUUGUGACUAGUGAUGUGUUUAAUGUGAAUCUGGUGAUAUUUUUUUUAAAGAGUAAACAUCGUAAAUGUUAACGAAAACUCUCGCUCAGCUGUUAUUGCUUUACAAACACAAAAAACCCGUAAUUUCUUGAGGUUAACACAACAUUAGCGCAAUAAACGCUUAAGCUGUGGGCAAAUAGAACCACUAAUAGUACCCGUGGUAGAACAAUCGAUUGCGCUGGCGCUUUGUAAAUAUAUCAAAUGUUCGAACCUUUUUGUUUACAUAAACGUGUGUUAACCUUAACAGUGUUAAAGAGCAUUAAAAUGUGUUGAGUAUUAAAGGAAAGCUUAAUUAAACAAAAACUUGUAGGUCCUGUUAUCUGUUUAUUUUUAAAAUACACGGAUGCACGCUGGCGUAUAAUAUGGAUAAAAUGCAGUUUAUAUAAAUCUUAUUAAUGGAUCAGAAUUAAAAAGUAAAGUAAAUAGCUUACAUCUUAAUUCUUCUAUUAAUUAGAGCAAUAGAAAAGAUAAAAGGUUUAUCUAACCGAUUAAACCAGCCUGCAUUAUCACCCUAAUCAGAUUUACAUUAAAUAAUGUAAAUCAUGUGUUGUGCAUUUUAAACUGAGUGAUAAAAACCUGAGAAUACCUGUGUAUGUGUGAAAUACUUGUUCCUGAUGUGAUUUCAAAUUAAGAGUUCAAAAAUGGAACACCCGGGCGGGUUUGCGGCGUCGCCCUGGGCCGCCAUGCUGGGGCAUGGCAUGCAUGGAAUGAUGCAGCAUGAAUAUGCCCACGGCCAUGCACAUACGUCUAUGCCGAUGGACCUCCAUGUUCCCCAGGCAUUUCCGUAUUAUCGGUAUCGAGAUGAAGCUUUAUGCUGGUCAGAGAGG